rnacentral:rRNA from 1 species
UUAAGCGACUAAGCGUACACGGUGGAUGCCCUGGCAGUCAGAGGCGAUGAAGGACGUGCUAAUCUGCGAAAAGCGUCGGUAAGGUGAUAUGAACCGUUAUAACCGGCGAUGUCCGAAUGGGGAAACCCAGUGUGUUUCGACACACUAUCAUUAACUGAAUCCAUAGGUUAAUGAGGCGAACCGGGGGAACUGAAACAUCUAAGUACCCCGAGGAAAAGAAAUCAACCGAGAUUCCCCCAGUAGCGGCGAGCGAACGGGGAGGAGCCCAGAGCCUGAAUCAGUGUGUGUGUUAGUGGAAGCGUCUGGAAAGGCGUGCGAUACAGGGUGACAGCCCCGUACACAAAAAUGCACAUGCUGUGAGCUCGAUGAGUAGGGCGGGACACGUGGUAUCCUGUCUGAAUAUGGGGGGACCAUCCUCCAAGGCUAAAUACUCCUGACUGACCGAUAGUGAACCAGUACCGUGAGGGAAAGGCGAAAAGAACCCCGGCGAGGGGAGUGAAAAAGAACCUGAAACCGUGUACGUACAAGCAGUGGGAGCCCUGAUUUAUCAGGGUGACUGCGUACCUUUUGUAUAAUGGGUCAGCGACUUAUAUUCUGUAGCAAGGUUAACCGAAUAGGGGAGCCGGAGGGAAACCGAGUCUUAACUGGGCGUUAAGUUGCAGGGUAUAGACCCGAAACCCGGUGAUCUAGCCAUGGGCAGGUUGAAGGUUGGGUAACACUAACUGGAGGACCGAACCGACUAAUGUUGAAAAAUUAGCGGAUGACUUGUGGCUGGGGGUGAAAGGCCAAUCAAACCGGGAGAUAGCUGGUUCUCCCCGAAAGCUAUUUAGGUAGCGCCUCGUGAAUUCAUCUCCGGGGGUAGAGCACUGUUUCGGCAAGGGGGUCAUCCCGACUUACCAACCCGAUGCAAACUGCGAAUACCGGAGAAUGUUAUCACGGGAGACACACGGCGGGUGCUAACGUCCGUCGUGAAGAGGGAAACAACCCAGACCGCCAGCUAAGGUCCCAAAGUCAUGGUUAAGUGGGAAACGAUGUGGGAAGGCCCAGACAGCCAGGAUGUUGGCUUAGAAGCAGCCAUCAUUUAAAGAAAGCGUAAUAGCUCACUGGUCGAGUCGGCCUGCGCGGAAGAUGUAACGGGGCUAAACCAUGCACCGAAGCUGCGGCAGCGACACUGUGUGUUGUUGGGUAGGGGAGCGUUCUGUAAGCCUGUGAAGGUGUGCUGUGAGGCAUGCUGGAGGUAUCAGAAGUGCGAAUGCUGACAUAAGUAACGAUAAAGCGGGUGAAAAGCCCGCUCGCCGGAAGACCAAGGGUUCCUGUCCAACGUUAAUCGGGGCAGGGUGAGUCGACCCCUAAGGCGAGGCCGAAAGGCGUAGUCGAUGGGAAACAGGUUAAUAUUCCUGUACUUGGUGUUACUGCGAAGGGGGGACGGAGAAGGCUAUGUUGGCCGGGCGACGGUUGUCCCGGUUUAAGCGUGUAGGCUGGUUUUCCAGGCAAAUCCGGAGAAUCAAGGCUGAGGCGUGAUGACGAGGCACUACGGUGCUGAAGCAACAAAUGCCCUGCUUCCAGGAAAAGCCUCUAAGCAUCAGGUAACAUCAAAUCGUACCCCAAACCGACACAGGUGGUCAGGUAGAGAAUACCAAGGCGCUUGAGAGAACUCGGGUGAAGGAACUAGGCAAAAUGGUGCCGUAACUUCGGGAGAAGGCACGCUGAUGGUAGGUGAAGCGACUUGCUCGUGGAGCUGAAAUCAGUCGAAGAUACCAGCUGGCUGCAACUGUUUAUUAAAAACACAGCACUGUGCAAACACGAAAGUGGACGUAUACGGUGUGACGCCUGCCCGGUGCCGGAAGGUUAAUUGAUGGGGUCAGCGCAAGCGAAGCUCUUGAUCGAAGCCCCGGUAAACGGCGGCCGUAACUAUAACGGUCCUAAGGUAGCGAAAUUCCUUGUCGGGUAAGUUCCGACCUGCACGAAUGGCGUAAUGAUGGCCAGGCUGUCUCCACCCGAGACUCAGUGAAAUUGAACUCGCUGUGAAGAUGCAGUGUACCCGCGGCAAGACGGAAAGACCCCGUGAACCUUUACUAUAGCUUGACACUGAACACUGGUCCUUGAUGUGUAGGAUAGGUGGGAGGCUUUGAAGUGUGGACGCCAGUCUGCAUGGAGCCGUCCUUGAAAUACCACCCUUUAAUGGCUGGUGUUCUAACGUGGGCCCGUAAUCCGGGUUGCGGACAGUGUCUGGUGGGUAGUUUGACUGGGGCGGUCUCCUCCUAAAGAGUAACGGAGGAGCACGAAGGUUGGCUAAUCCUGGUCGGACAUCAGGAGGUUAGUGCAAUGGCAUAAGCCAGCUUGACUGCGAGCGUGACGGCGCGAGCAGGUGCGAAAGCAGGUCAUAGUGAUCCGGUGGUUCUGAAUGGAAGGGCCAUCGCUCAACGGAUAAAAGGUACUCCGGGGAUAACAGGCUGAUACCGCCCAAGAGUUCAUAUCGACGGCGGUGUUUGGCACCUCGAUGUCGGCUCAUCACAUCCUGGGGCUGAAGUAGGUCCCAAGGGUAUGGCUGUUCGCCAUUUAAAGUGGUACGCGAGCUGGGUUUAGAACGUCGUGAGACAGUUCGGUCCCUAUCUGCCGUGGGCGCUGGAGAACUGAGGGGGGCUGCUCCUAGUACGAGAGGACCGGAGUGGACGCAUCACUGGUGUUCGGGUUGUCAUGCCAAUGGCACUGCCCGGUAGCUAAAUGCGGAAGAGAUAAGUGCUGAAAGCAUCUAAGCACGAAACUUGCCCCGAGAUGAGUUCUCCCUGAGACCUAGAGUCUCCUGAAGGAACGUUGAAGACGACGACGUUGAUAGGCCGGGUGUGUAAGCGCAGCGAUGCGUUGAGCUAACCGGUACUAAUGAACCGUGAGGCUUAACCUU